GAUGAACGCUGGCGGCGUGCUUAACACAUGCAAGUCGAGCGAAGCGCUUAACCGGAUUUCUUCGGAUUGAAGGUUUUGCGACUGAGCGGGCGUACGGGUGAAGGUACGCGUAGGGUAACUGCCCUGUACCGGGGAUAACAGACAGAAAUGUCUGCUAAUACCGCAUAAGCGCACGAGAAGGCAUCUUUUUGUGUGAAAAACUCCGGUGGUACAGGAUGGACCCGCGCUGGAUUAGCCAGUUGGCGGGGUAACGGCCCAACCAAAGCAACGAUCCAUAGCCGGCCUGAGAGGGCGACCGGCCACAUUGGGACUGAGACCACGGCCCAG
rnacentral:rRNA from 1 species